UAGCGGAGGGGGAGCUAGCGUUGUUCGGAAUUACUGGGCGUAAAGCGCACGUAGGCGGCUUUGUAAGUUAGAGGUGAAAGCCCAGGGCUUAACCCUGGAAUUGCCUUUAAGACUGCAUCGCUAGGAAUCGUGGAGAGGUGAGUGGAAUUCCGAGUGUAGAGGUGAAAUUCGUAGAUAUUCGGGAAGAACACCAGUGGCGAAGGCGGACUCACUGG
rnacentral:rRNA from 1 species